rnacentral:lncRNA from 1 species
CGGUUCUCAUGACAGCUCAGUCCAGAAUGUGGGGCGUUUGCAGAAAGCCCAGGUGUCAAUGUCGAUUUCAUUCCUUUUUGCUCAAAUCUGUCGACCACUGAAGAAAGGGGGAGAGCUUUCCUGAGGAUGCUAUGGUCCUCAUACCCACAGGAGCUUCCGGGAGGGCAGCAGCUGCUGGUAGGUGGCCUCUUAGAAACACUAAGGGGCCCAGCGUGUGCCCAGGUGGGCCGGCCCCACAGGCCUGCUCUGAUGUCACCUGUGGCAAUUCCACAGGGAGGCUCUGUUGAUCCAGGGGAGGAAACUGAGGCUGAGCACAGAGGCUUACCUUCUAAGGACACAUGGCCAGAGAGAACCAGGGCCAGGAAGGAAUUCAGACCCUGUGGCCAUGAACCACAUUUCUUCCUGGUUCCUUUUGAGCCCCAGGACAUGUGUGAUGUCAGACCCAGGUGACAACCUGCCAACUUCUCUGUGCACCUGCUCUCAGCUUGGUUUGUGGCAAAGGCCAUGCAUGAGAUAGUCUCCAUGCAGUGCCGACCCCUCUGCCCCUGCUGGUGGCACGCGGGCACCCCCACUGAGGAGGGACCACCAGCAGCAGCCAUGACCCUUCUUUGGGAAUAGCUUCUUCAUUUCCUUUGGUGCAACUAUUGUUCCUUUGCUCGCAGCCCCAGGGAUUGUGAUGCCUUCUCCUCCACCUCCCUCAAAUCAUAGCGAUUAGAUCAGGAAUAUGAAUGAGUCCACCCCACCAGCAAAACCCAAUCUUGGAAUUUUGUUGGUAGGACUCAUUGUUGGUCUGUGCAGGUUGCUGGGCUGGUAGACUCUAAGCCUACAAUGUUAGGGAUCAUCUCUUCUAUGUGUUGGAGGAAAUUGGCUUGAAAAUAAAGCCUACCUAGGGGAUAGCAGGGUGAAAGUGGACUCCACACAUCAUGUGAGCACCUGGAUUUAGCUGUGCCUGCAGCAGGACCCUUGGGCUUUUCAGGGUCAUAACCUGCUGUAUUUCCUUUUGUGCUUGAGCUUGCCACUCCUGUCCAAUGAGUCCUAGUCCUCUCUGUGCCUCAGUUUUGCUGAGAAGGGCUUCUCCAGGGGAUCCAUGCUUCUGUCCCCUGACCCAGAGCCCUUUCCUUGCACAAGCAGUUCCAGGUUCCAAUGAGACUCAGAUGGCUUCCUGUCCAGACCCAGUACCCAUGUGGUCCCCUGUCCCCCUCUCCAGCUGCCCCUUUCUCCAGGGCCAGGGCCAGGGGCACAUCAAUCCCACAGCCAUUGCUAACCUAUUGGGGAAGGCGAUGACUCCCGUCCCCGGAAUGCGACUGCAUAAAAAACAAAACAAAAGCUCUUCUUUUUUUUUUCUCCCAAAGUAAUGUGUAGAGGUGGCUUUUCUGGUUUUAAAAGUUUGAACAGCACAAAAGGAAAUAAAAAUAGAAGGUGUGAGUUCCCCACCUCCCCGCUCCCCAACCUCACUCCCUAGAGACAUCCACCACCAGCUUCCGUCUCUGCACAACCCCGGGCUCUGCGUGUGAUCUCUCUGAGUUGGAAGCAGCUUUUGGAGGACUUUCACGUGGGCUCACCCGUCUGCCCUGCGGGUCACUUUUGUCGCUGUGUUUCCCUUUUUAAAAACUCGGCAGAACACUGACAAUGGGCACUCGUCUGCCUUGGCUGUCCCGAGUGUGUGGUCCCAUGGUGCCGAGUGGGUCACAUUGUUUUGCAACCAACACAGAAAGUUCCCAGAACUUUUCCAGCUUGCAAAACCGAAACUCUGUUCCCAUCAAACAACUCCCACCCCCGUCCUCCAGCCUGGCCGCCACCCUCCAACCCACUUUCCAUCUCCAUUCAUUUCUCACAGCUACGGGCUGCUCUGGACCCCCCAGUUGAGUGGAUCGCACGGCAUGGGCCUUCGGGGACUCACUUAGCUAAAUGUCCUCAGCGCCCAUCUGUUUGGCUGCAUGGGUCACAUUCGGCUUCCUUUUAAAGGCCAAGUAAUAUUCUGCUGUAUGGACAGACACAUUUGGUCUACCUAGGUAUCUGUGGAUGGACACUUGGUGGCUUCCGUCCUGGCGACUGUGGAUUCUGCCGCUGUGGAUGUGAGCGGACUCAGCACUUCGACACCCUGCUCUGAUCCUGGAGUUGCUGGUUCAGAUGACACUGGAUUUUGACUUUUUGAGGAACUGCACACUGUUUUUCACAGUGGUGGCACAUCUUAUGUUCCCCCAACAGUGCCCAAGGGUUGCAAAUCCCCUACAUCCUCACCAGCUCUUGCUGUUUUCUGUGUCUUGAUAGUAGCCAACCUACUGGGUGUGACAUGGAGGGUCUCAUUAUAGUUUUUAUUUGCAUUUCCCCGAUGCCUUGUGUGUGUUUGAAAUGUGCAACGUGAACGUUUCCAGGCACACCCGCGGCCGUGAUCGUCAGCGCUCUGGAGAGGCAGAGCAGGCAGGAUAUGUACACAGGCCUAUGAUAAGGGCUCACCAGGGGAGUUUGCAAAUGUGAUGUCACAGCUGGGAAGUCCCAGGCUGGAGACUGGGAAGCCAGUAGCCUGCCUCAGCUCAAGUCCCAAGGCCUCAGAACCAGGAAGGCCAACAGUGUAACUCUCCGUUCAAGGUCAAAGGCAUGAGGACCCAGAGUGGGGGCCGCUGGCGUAAGCCCUGCAGUCCAGAGGCCAGCAAGCCUGAUGUCCAAGGAGGAGGCCGGCAUGGCCCAGCUCUCAGACAGACCAGCCCACCUUCCCUACUGGUCCUCUACAGACCCGGCAGUCUGGAUGGUGCUGACCACAUCCAGGACGGGUCUCCUCACCUAGUCCACUGACUCACAUGCUGACCUCUUCUGGAAACACCCUCAGAGACACCCCAAGUGAUGCUUUCCAGGUAUUCCUUAAUCCAUUCAAGUUGAGACGCAGCCAUCACGGAUGGGACAAUUAGCAAGACCUUGGCCCUAUUUGCUUUCUGACUCCUGAAUAAUUUCACGUUGAAUCCCAGACUUUAGGUUUCCACCUUGCUACAUGAUCCAGCAGGCACUUCUGAAGGCCAGGACAUCUUCCCACAUAAAGUAUCACCAUCGUCCUAAAGGUUCCCUGGCACCAUCUCGUAUUUCACCCACAGUCAAACCUCACUACUUAAAAUACACAGCCUCAUUUUUCACAGGGCCCUUCUAGAAGACCCAUGACUGACCCAGAGAGUUAGCCACGCCCUUCUCCCCAGAAGGCACAGGGUCCCAGGGUUAGGGGCACAGGCUGCACUGUCUGUUCAAUCCCGUCUCUCCCAGCAGGCUCUGGGUCUUGAGCAGUUACUCAGCCCUGCGGAAGCUCGCUCUGUCCAUCUGUACAGUGGUGGUGGGGGUGACCACAGCGUCCACCUCCCAGACUGUGAAAUGGGGUGAGCUUUUUGAGGAGCCCAUAGUGAGGCUUCAGGUCUGGGGAGUGGCUAGUGUUCCUUACAAUUACCAAAUGUGAAUUUUGAAA